GGGACGAACGCUGGCGGCGUGCUUAACACAUGCAAGUCGAGCGGUAAGGCCCUUUCGGGGGUACACGAGCGGCGAACGGGUGAGUAACACGUGAGUAAUCUGCCCUCCACUUGGGGAUAAGCUUCGGAAACGGGGUCUAAUACCUGAUACGACAACUACCUGCAUGGGUUGGUUGUGGAAAGUUUUUUCGGUGGGGGAUGUGCUCGCGGCCUAUCAGCUUGUUGGUGGGUAAUGGCCUACCAAGGCUUCGACGGGUAGCCGGCCUGAGAGGGUGACCGGCCACACUGGGACUGAGACACGGCCCAGACUCCGUACGGGAGCAGCGAGUGGGGAAUAGUUGGACAAGUGGGCGAAGCCUGAUCCAGCAGCGCCGCGUGGAGGAUCGGACGGUCCGUUCGGUUCGUAACCUCUUCAGUACCGACGAGCGCCGUGGU
rnacentral:rRNA from 1 species